UAUUAAAAAUUUUAUUUAUUUGUAUUGUUAAAACCUCACACGGUUGAUGGAAUACAUGUUACGUAUACCUUAUACUUAUGUACAUGGAUAAGUUUUUAACAGUAGAAAUAGAUAAAAUUUUUAAUA
rfam:Gossypium hirsutum cultivar TM-1 chromosome 22, whole genome shotgun sequence